AAUCCCAUUAUCUUUCCAUCAGCUGAUUUUCACGUCUCUGAUGGCUUAAUAUGGGAGAAAUGAUCAGGAUUUGUCUGAAAACGUUGGGUUAUCACUUGUAGAUAUGUCAUUUCAUUCUGCCGACAUUU
rnacentral:snoRNA from 1 species